rnacentral:lncRNA from 1 species
AGACAGACUAUGAAGAGAUACAUAGGGUGAGAAACGGAGGCCUUCAGCCAACAGCUGGGAGAAGCUGAGUCCCAUCAGCCAUUCAAAAGACUGCAGCCCCAGCCAAGAGUUUGAUGUAACCUCAGGAGAGACCCUGAGCCAGAACCACCUAGAAAAGCUGGGAUACAUGAAGACUGCCAUCCCUUGAGUCACUUGCCCUGUAGCUGCCACUGUUGGAAAAGGGCUUGCUUCUGUGUCCUUGUGCCCACUUUGAAAAUCCCUGGGAAGUCCUUGGAGUCAGAUGAGCAGGCCUCCGCCACUCUGCCAAAAAGUCUGUUCACAGGAAGUUUCACAUCACUAGAGAAGAGAGAAGAAGGACAUUUGUACUGGGAGGAGUCGACCGGUCCCAGUAAGGAGAAAGUAGCUACAGCGUCAUGGGUGAGCUGGGUCCCCCAAAAAGGAACUUUAAGGGAAUGGACUGAAUCAAGUCUGAGAUGUCCCCAAAGCAAGACCAAAGAACUGAGGAAGAGAAGCAUUCAUCAGAAACCAAAAUUCAGCUACAAGUGAGCAUCCAGAUGGAGGUAUUAUGAAGAGGAACUGAGACUGAGGGCAAAAGGUGCCAGCCAGAAUCCUGGAUAGGAGAGCAAGAACCAGGACCUCAUUUAAGAGACAACCUGCUUAAGGCAGAGUAAGGUGAGAUUGGAUUCACGCAAAGACCUGGAAUUCAAGUAGGUUAAUGAACAGACAGUGUGUGCCUAUACCACGAAUUUACAAUAAUAAUAAGGGUGCUAAUAA